rnacentral:rRNA from 1 species
GAUGAACGCUGGCGGCGUGCCUAAUACAUGCAAGUCGAGCGAGUGGAUUAAGAGCUUGCUCUUAUGAAGUUAGCGGCGGACGGGUGAGUAACACGUGGGUAACCUGCCCAUAAGACUGGGAUAACUCCGGGAAACCGGGGCUAAUACCGGAUAACAUUUUGAACCGCAUGGUUCGAAAUUGAAAGGCGGCUUCGGCUGUCACUUAUGGAUGGACCCGCGUCGCAUUAGCUAGUUGGUGAGGUAACGGCUCACCAAGGCAACGAUGCGUAGCCGACCUGAGGGGGUGAUCGGCCACACUGGGACUGAGACACGGCCCAGACUCCUACGGGAGGCAGCAGUAGGGAAUCUUCCGCAAUGGACGAAGGUCUGACGGAGCGACGCCGCGUGAGUGAUGAAGGCUUUCGGGUCGUAAAACUCUGUUGUUAGGGAAGAACAAGUGCUAGUUGAAUAAGCUGGCACCUUGACGGUACCUAACCAGAAAGCCACGGCUAACUACGUGCCAGCAGCCGCGGUAA